GCUUGAGUCUCGUAGAGGGGGGUAGAAUUCCAGGUGUAGCGGUGAAAUGCGUAGAGAUCUGGAGGAAUACCGGUGGCGAAGGCGGCCCCCUGGACGAAGACUGACGCUCAGGUGCGAAAGCGUGGGGAGCAAACAGGAUUAGAUACCCUGGUAGUCCACGCCGUAAACGAUGUCGACUUGGAGGUUGUGCCCUUGAGGCGUGGCUUCCGGAGCUAACGCGUUAAGUCGACCGCCUGGGGAGUACGGCCGCAAGGUUAAAACUCAAAUGAAUUGACGGGGGCCCGCACAAGCGGUGGAGCAUGUGGUUUAAUUCGAUGCAACGCGAAGAACCUUACCUGGUCUUGACAUCCAGAGAAUCCUGCAGAGAUGCGGGAGUGCCUUCGGGAACUCUGAGACAGGUGCUGCAUGGCUGUCGUCAGCUCGUGUUGUGAAAUGUUGGGUUAAGUCCCGCAACGAGCGCAACCCUUAUCCUUUGUUGCCAGCGGU
rnacentral:rRNA from 1 species